rnacentral:rRNA from 1 species
UACGUAGGUGGCAAGCGUUAUCCGGAAUUAUUGGGCGUAAAGAGCGCGCAGGUGGUUAAUUAAGUCUGAUGUGAAAGCCCACGGCUUAACCGUGGAGGGUCAUUGGAAACUGGUUGACUUGAGUGCAGAAGAGGGAAGUGGAAUUCCAUGUGUAGCGGUGAAAUCCGUAGAUAUCUGGAGGAACAUCAGUGGCGAAGGCGGCCACCUGGACCGGUAUUGACGCUGAGGCGCGAAAGCGUGGGGAGCAAACAGG